GUGGGGAAUUUUGGACAAUGGGGGCAACCCUGAUCCAGCAAUGCCGCGUGCAGGAAGAAGGCCUUCGGGUUGUAAACUGCUUUUGUACGGAACGAAACGGUCUGGGUUAAUACCCUGGGCUAAUGACGGUACCGUAAGAAUAAGCACCGGCUAACUACGUGCCAGCAGCCGCGGUAAUACGUAGGGUGCAAGCGUUAAUCGGAAUUACUGGGCGUAAAGCGUGCGGAGGCGGUUUUGUAAGACAGACGUGAAAUCCCCGGGCUCAACCUGGGAAUGGCGUUUGUGACUGCAAAGCUGGAGUGCGGCAGAGGGGGAUGGAAUUCCGCGUGUAGCAGUGAAAUGCGUAGAUAUGCGGAGGAACACCGAUGGCGAAGGCAAUCCCCUGGGCCUGCACUGACGCUCAUGCACGAAAGCGUGGGGAGCAAACAGGAUUAGAAACCCUUGUAGUCC
rnacentral:rRNA from 1 species